rnacentral:lncRNA from 1 species
GAAAUUUAAUGAAAACCAACGCUUAUUUAAAAGCCCAAAGACGAUCACCAUGGCCACUCUGAAUCCCCUCCGGCCCAAGUCUCCACAUCAAGGCUCAUCUGCAAGGUUAAGGAAAGGGGGUGAGUUUGGAAACUCAGUGUGCAACAAGCCCCUUUCAGAGCCCAAAACAAUAACAGCCUGUUGGGUCUAAGCCCAAAUCCAAUCUCAAACAUGUACUGGGCCAUAGCCCUUUUCAUAUUUCAUAUUUCAUAAAACUGGGCUGAAGCCUUUUCAAAUUUCAUAUUACUGGGCCGAAGCCUUUACUGUAAACGGUAUGGCCCAUAGGCCCAUUUUAAUAUCACAUAUAAUGUCAAUGAAAGAAUGCAAGCCCAUUUGGGGAGACUACACAACCCACCAUCCGCUACUCUCCACCCGUACCAACCAACACACCAUGUGGGGAUUAACUCGACCCACCCCGCCAUAACUCUCCACUGGCAGCUUAGCUGCUUUAUCAUAUAACUGGAGGCCUAGCCUCUUUUAAUAACUGGGGCAAAAGCCCUUUUUAUAACUGGGGCAUAAGCCCUUUAAUAACUGGGGCGUAAGCCCUUUUGAUAACUGGGGCAUAAGCCCUUUUGAUAACUGGGGCAUAAGCCCUUUAAUAACUGGGGCAUAAGCCCUUUUUCACUUCCUCUAUUCAUAUAAAAACCCAACCCAAUGCAUUUAUGAAUACAUCAUGUGCAUAUCAUACAUAUCAUGUGCAUAUCAUACAUGUCAUGUGCAUAUCAUACAUGUCAUGUGCAUAUCAUACAUACCGUGUUUAUCAAAAUCCCAUGUAUUAAAAUCAUACAUAAACCCUAGGGGUAUAAUGGUUAUUUUUACCAAGGGCCAAAACGGUCAUUUUCAUGUUAUAAGGGUAAUCUUGUAAUUUUACCAAAAAUUAGGGUUUCCAUGUUCAUUAACAGUUACUAACAAUUCAUAGGUGAAAACAGUGAUUCUGGCCCAUUUUUAGCGAAAUCGAGUUAUUGGGCCUAAAACCCCUAAUGGGCCCCACUUAGCCGAUUUUGUCAUCUAGGCCCAUUUAGCCUAUAUCUAUAACAGUAUUAACAGUCUUAACAUGCAAUUUAACAGAUUUCCAUUUCCUACCAAUUUAACCCAAAUGGGCCCGAAAGCCUAUUGGGCCCUAUUUCAGCCCCUCGAGGCCCAACUUACCGUGAACGCCAAAAACACGUUCUUACCAUUCCCAAUGUUCCUGAUCAUCAUCUCAACGAAUUUAACUAACUAAUGAGCAUUCGCUUGCUCACAAGUCCUCGAAAUGCCAGAAUUUCGGCAUUUCGGCUUUUCAGCAUUUAUCGCUUUAAGCUAGGAAAAAGGGUUCGUUACACACCUGAUUUGCGAUAUUCCUUGACGAGAUCUCCUAUGUGAUUUCUCCUUUUCCGAAGUUGAUGACUAGAUUUUGUCACUUCGAUGAUCCAAGCUUUUCACACACUCCUCGAUCGGUAGCCUUUAAUCCUUACAAGAGAUCUAC